rnacentral:snRNA from 1 species
UAUCCUCGGUCGGGAUCAA